AGUGAACGCUGGCGGUAGGCCUAACACAUGCAAGUCGAACGGCAGCACAGUAAGAUCUUUCUCUUACGGGUGGCGAGUGGCGGACGGGUGAGGAAUACAUCGGAAUCUACUUUUUCGUGGGGGAUAACGUAGGGAAACUUACACUAAUACCGCAUACGACCUACGGGUGAAAGCAGUGGAUCUUCGGACCUUGCGCGAUUGAAUUAGCCGAUGUCGGAUUAGCUAGUUGGCGGGGUAAAGGCCCACCAAGGCGACGAUCCGUAGCUGGUCUGAGAGGAUGAUCAGCCACACUGGAACUGAGACACGGUCCAGACUCCUACGGGAGGCAGCAGUGGGGAAUAUUGGACAAAGGGCGCAAGCCUGAUCCAGCAACACCGCGUGGGUGAAGAAGGCCUUCGGGUUGUAAAGCCCUUUUGUUGGGAAAGAAAAGCAGCAGGUUAAUACCCCGCUGUUCUGACGGUACCCAAAGAAUAAGCACCGGCUAACUUCGUG
rnacentral:rRNA from 1 species